rnacentral:rRNA from 1 species
CCUACGGGAGGCAGCAGUGAGGAAUAUUGGUCAAUGGGCGUAAGCCUGAACCAGCCAAGCCGCGUGAGGGAUGAAGGUUCCAUGGAUCGUAAACUUCUUUUAUCAGGGAAUAAAGUGUGGGACGUGUCCUUUUUCGUAUGUACUUUAUGAAAAAGGAUCGGCUAACUCCGUGCCAGCAGCCGCGGUAAUACGGAGGAUCCGAGCGUUAUCCGGAUUUAUUGGGUUUAAAGGGUGCGUAGGCGGCCUUUUAAGUCAGCGGUGAAAGGCCGGGGCUCAACCAUAGGAAUGCCGUUGAAACUGGGGGGCUUGAGAAGGUGAGAGGCAGGCGGAAUGCGUGGUGUAGCGGUGAAAUGCUUAGAUAGCGCGCAGAACCCCGAUUGCGAAGGCAGCAUGCCGGGGGAGGACUGACGCUGAUGCACGAAAGCGUGGGGAUCGAACAGGAUUAGAUACCCCAGUAGUC